UCAUCAAAAAUUCCGAAAGUGUGUAUAAGUGAAUAAGCGUGCUCACGGUCGUAUGCACAAGUCUGGCAACUAUCGUGGUAGGGGCAACGCUAUUAGUGAAAGCCAAAUGUUUCUCGAUUUGCCCGCUAAACAAUAAAACACUUCAAGUCAAGAGUUUGAAUUGCAUAUGUGUAAUAUAGUGUAGACACGCGAGUGUAUAAUCGUAGCGCUCUAUGGCUAGUGGCUGAUUUAUAAAGCACACAUUAUGAUGUUAAGAGCCUUACCUCCUCUAUGGAAAUUGCUACCUGUGUAUACGACUUUGGACGACGUGGACGUGCUCUAACACCGUUGAUGGAAAGGUCCACAUUCAUGAGAGCGAAAAUCCCCUUUUUCUCUUCUUAAUUACCAAUUCUAAUAAUGUCUUAUCAAUGAUCCAAGAUCAUGUAGUACGAAGUUAUACGAUAGUGUAACUUAUUACGUAUAUACAUUAUAUAUAUAUGUAUUUCUCUGUGAAAGAAUUUAAUUUAUUUUGUGCUAAUUAAAUCAUGGUGUCGUGUGAUUAUGAAAGAGUGGACGUCCAAGUUGUUUGCCAGAUUUGCGAUAUCUCCUCAGAAGGGAUAGCCGAGCACAAAGGAUUAAUAAAUUAAAAAAAAAAUGUUUAUUUAUGAUCUUCAAAAUGAUUAAUUAAAUGUACCAUGUGCCGUCUAGAUUUUCCCGCCAUAUCCAAAGCAAGUUUGAGACUAUCUGCCCGCCACUUUACUUUAACAAAAUUAUUCAUUAACAAUGGCGUAUCGUCGUUUAGUGGAAAAUAAAAUGUAACAUAAAGUGAUUCGAUGAAACAUUCGAUGCCCAGCAUUAUCAUUUUCCGUGAAUCUCCCACAAAACAUGGACACACGCAAAGUUUCAUCUUUGACGAAUCUAAACCAUUAACUUCACCCCACGAAUAAUUCAAUGAGUCAUCAGCGAGAUUCUUUAAUAUUAAAAUAUAAGUUUCCUUGACACCGAUGUAUAGAGUCCUGUCACGCGUAAUAAUCUUAAUAAGA